GUACAAUAAGCAAAGUAAGGGCGUAUGGGGGAUGCCUAGGCUCUCAGAGGCGAAGAAGGACGUGAUAAGCUGCGAAAAGCUUCGGGGAGGUGCACACAACCGUUAAUCCGAAGAUAUCCGAAUGGGGCAACCCACCAUGUUGAAGACAUGGUACAUCGAUAGAUGGGCAAACCCGCUGAACUGAAACAUCUAAGUAGGCGGAGGAGAAGAAAACAAAAGUGAUUCCGUAAGUAGUGGCGAGCGAACGCGGAUUAGCCCAAACCAACUAUGUUACGGCAUAUUUGGGGUUGUAGGACCACGAUAUUUCAUGCACAAGGAACCGGAAGGACCUGGAAAGGUCUGCCAGAGAGGGUGAUAGCCCCGUAUGGGUAACGAGUGUAAUGGAUAGUGGUAUCCUGAGUAGGGCGGGGCACGUGAAACCCUGUCUGAAUCUGGCGGGACCAUCCGCUAAGGCUAAAUACUCCUGAGAGACCGAUAGUGAACCAGUACCGUGAGGGAAAG
rnacentral:rRNA from 1 species